rnacentral:lncRNA from 1 species
UGACCAUACAACAUCCAUCAUCCAUGAUAUCUCUUAUAAGUCCAGGGAGCUGCUAGGCAGUGAGCAACCUGGCCUGAGAUCCCAAUAAGAGACUGGGGAAUUGAAUACAGCAUCCAGCAAGACAUGGUGGUGAACCCUGGCUCUAAGUCUUCAUGAUUAAGCGACUCUUUUGCACAACACAAAGAGUAUUCCGGGGACACAAAAGUAUUGCUCCUCUCCUCCAGAUGUGUAUAGUCCUGGUGGAUAACUGAAAGGCAAGUAGAACCAACCAGAAUGUUAACUAUUAUCAUAUGUUUGUAU